AUGCACGCUGGCGGCGUGCCUAAUACCUGCAAGUCGAGCGAACAGACGAGGAGCUUGCUCCUCUGACGUUAGCGGCGGACGGGUGAGUAACACGUGGAUAACCUACCUAUAAGACUGGGAUAACUUCGGGAAACCGGAGCUAAUACCGGAUAAUAUAUUGAACCGCAUGGUUCAAUAGUGAAAGACGGUUUUGCUGUCACUUAUAGAUGGAUCCGCGCCGCAUUAGCUAGUUGGUAAGGUAACGGCUUACCAAGGCAACGAUGCGUAGCCGACCUGAGAGGGUGAUCGGCCACACUGGAACUGAGACACGGUCCAGACUCCUACGGGAGGCAGCAGUAGGGAAUCUUCCGCAAUGGGCGAAAGCCUGACGGAGCAACGCCGCGUGAGUGAUGAAGGUCUUCGGAUCGUAAAACCCUGUUAUUAGGGAAGAACAAAUGUGUAAGUAACUAUGCACGUCUUGACGGUACCUAAUCAGAAAGCCACGGCUAACUACGUG
rnacentral:rRNA from 1 species